UUUCCCAUAUGACUGUCACAUUUUCUUUUAUUGGUAGGUUAUGGUGGCUAUGGCUUGUGGGAUAGAGUGAAAUUGCCAUAAUCUGAAAAAGGACUAUUUCCUUGUGUCCUCCUCCUAUGUGAGAUGGCUGAACAACAAAAC